GCUAACGAGCGCAACCCUCGCUGUGUGUUACAAGUGUCACACGGAACUGCCGGUCAUAAACCGGAGGAAGGUGGGGAUGACGUCAAGUCAGCAUGGCCUUUAUAUCCUGGGCUACACACACGCUACAAUGGGAAGGGACAAUAGGUUGCGAAACCGCGAGGUGGAGCCAAUCCAGCAAAACUUCCCUCAGUUCAGAUUGCAGGCUGCAACUCGCCUGCAUGAAGUUGGAGUUGCUAGUAAACGCAGGUCAGCCAUACUGCGUUGAAUACGUUCCCGGGGCUU
rnacentral:rRNA from 1 species